AUAAUGAGUAAAGUUAUUUAUUAGCCAAAUAAAAACAAGAAAAGUCACCCAUGCUAAUAAAUUAGGCCAUCUGUUGCCUUUUUAUAAGGUUUUGAAUUUGACGAUUUAACAAUAAUACAUGGCUCAACUUGUGAUGCAUUUAGUAAGUUGAAAAAGUAUAGUUGGGCAAGCAAAAUGUUCAUUCGAGCUGUUUGGAUAAAAAAUACAGAGAAAUAAAGUGAGAAAAUUCAAUCGAUAAUUUUUAUGUGCUGGCUAUCAUCAUUAAAUGUAAUAAAUUGUUUCAAUGAAAUGCAUAAACCGCAUCUAACUAAUUCAGAUUUACGCUGCUCAAAAUUAAAUGUCAUGGAGUUAAUAAGCUACUACCAUGCUUAUGCAAGAGAAAACAUAAUAACCAACAGAAUAGUAAGCAAGUACCUACUCCUGUAACGCAA